UACAGAGGUCCCGAGCGUUGUUCGGAUUCAUUGGGCGUAAAGGGUGCGUAGGCGGCGGGGAAAGUCUGAUGUGAAAUCCUGGGGCUCAACCCUGGAACUGCAUUGGAUACUUCCUUGCUAGAGUACUGGAGAGGAAACUGGAAUUUACGGUGUAGCAGUGAAAUGCGUAGAGAUCGUAAGGAAGACCAGUGGCGAAGGCGGCGAGCUGGUCCAUUACUGACGCUGAGGCGCGACAGCGUGGGGAGCAAACAGG
rnacentral:rRNA from 1 species